rnacentral:rRNA from 1 species
CCUACGGGUGGCAGCAGUAGGGAAUCUUCCACAAUGGGCGAAAGCCUGAUGGAGCAACGCCGCGUGGGUGAAGAAGGUCUUCGGAUCGUAAAACCCUGUUGUUAGAGAAGAAAGUGCGUGAGAGUAACUGUUCACGUUUCGACGGUAUCUAACCAGAAAGCCACGGCUAACUACGUGCCAGCAGCCGCGGUAAUACGUAGGUGGCAAGCGUUAUCCGGAUUUAUUGGGCGUAAAGGGAACGCAGGCGGUCUUUUAAGUCUGAUGUGAAAGCCUUCGGCUUAACCGGAGUAGUGCAUUGGAAACUGGGAGACGUGAGUGCAGAAGAGGAGAGUGGAACUCCAUGUGUAGCGGUGAAAUGCGUAGAUAUAUGGAAGAACACCAGUGGCGAAAGCGGCUCUCUGGUCUGUAACUGACGCUGAGGUUCGAAAGCGUGGGUAGCAAACAGGAUUAGAUACCCUAGUGUC